rnacentral:rRNA from 1 species
CCUACGGGAGGCAGCAGUGGGGAAUAUUGGACAAUGGGCGCAAGCCUGAUCCAGCCAUGCCGCGUGAGUGAUGAAGGCCCUAGGGUUGUAAAGCUCUUUUGUGCGGGAAGAUAAUGACGGUAUCCGGAGAAGAAGCCCCGGCUAACUUCGUGCCAGCAGCCGCGGUCAUA